rnacentral:sRNA from 1 species
AGAGCAGGCCUUUCAGGCAUCCUCUCCUAAAAACUUUCAGGCCGGUCCUUUUUGGAUCGGUCUUUUUUUUGGUCAAA